rnacentral:rRNA from 1 species
UACGUAGGGGGCGAGCGUUGUCCGGAGUACUGGGCGUAAAGCGCACGCAGGCGGUCUGCUAAGUUUGGAGUGACAGUUGAUGGCUCAACCAUCAAAGUGCUUCGAAAACUGACAGACUUGAGGGCUUCAGAGGGACACGGAAUCCGGGUGGAGUGGUGAAAUGCGUAGAGAUCCGGAGGAACACCGAAGGCGAAGGCAGUGUCCUGGGGAGUACCGUGGACG